rnacentral:rRNA from 1 species
GAUUAACGCUAGCGGCAGGCAUAAUACAUGCAGGUUGAACGGCAGCACAGGUAGCAAUACUGGGUGGCGAGUGGCGCACGGGUGCGUAACACGUAUGCAACCUACCCUAUACAGGCGAAUAACCUUUAGAAAUGAGGGCUAAUACGCCGUAGUAUUACAGAUGGGCAUCUAUUUGUAAUUAAAGAUUUAUCGGUAUAGGAUGGGCAUGCGUCCCAUUAGUUAGUUGGUAAGGUAACGGCUUACCAAGACGAUGAUGGGUAGGGGAUCUGAGAGGACUUACCCCCACACUGGUACUGAGACACGGACCAGACUCCUACGGGAGGCAGCAGUAAGGAAUAUUGGGCAAUGGCCGCGAGGCUGACCCAGCCAUGCCGCGUGCAGGAAGACGGCCUUAUGGGUUGUAAACUGCUUUUAUACGGGAAUAAUAGAGUGUACGCGUACAUUUAUGCAAGUAUCGUAUGAAUAAGCAUCGGCUAACUCCGUG